rnacentral:rRNA from 1 species
AGGUAUCAGAAGUGCGAAUGCUGACAUGAGUAACGACAAUGCGGGUGAAAAACCCGCACGCCGGAAGACCAAGGGUUCCUGCGCAACGCUAAUCGGCGCAGGGUUAGCCGGCCCCUAAGACGAGCCCGAAGGGGGUAGUCGAUGGGAACCACGUAAAUAUUCGUGGGCCUGAAGAUGUGUGACGGAUCGUGGAAGUUGUUUUCUCUUAUUGGAUUGAGAGGGCAGCCAAGCGGUUCCAGGAAAUAGCCUCUUCAUAUAGACCGUACCCGAAACCGACACAGGUGGUCAGGUAGAGUAUACCAAGGCGCUUGAGAGAAGUAUCCUGAAGGAACUCGGCAAAUUGCCUCCGUACCUUCGGAAGAAGGAGGCCCCAUAUCGACGCAAGUCUUUGUGGGGGGCACAGGCCAGGGGGUAGCGACUGUUUAGCAAAAACACAGCACUCUGCUAAGUCGGCUUCAAGACGACGUAUAGGGUGUGACGCCUGCCCGGUGCUCGAAGGUUAAGAGGAGGAGUGCAAGCUCCGAAUUGAAGCCCGAGUAAACGGCGGCCGUAACAAUAACGGUCCUAAGGUAG